AGGUUAUUGACAAAGUGCCCGCAGCAGUGAAAACAGGUAGAUCAUAAAGACGCCGUAUUCCCUUUGUAAAAAUAAGCGUCCCUGAUGGCUCGAGCCGCUCCAUCCGUGGCGCGGACGCUUU
rnacentral:ncRNA from 1 species